rnacentral:rRNA from 1 species
GAUAGUGGCAAACGGGUGAGUAACGCGUAAGUAACCUACCUCUAAGUGGGGGAUAGCUUCGGGAAACUGAAGGUAAUACCGCAUGUGAUGGGCUGACAUAAGUCGGUUCAUUAAAGCCGCAAGGUGCUUGGUGAGGGGCUUGCGUCCGAUUAGCUAGUUGGUGGGGUAAUGGCCUACCAAGGCUUCGAUCGGUAGCUGGUCUGAGAGGAUGAUCAGCCACACUGGGACUGAGACACGGCCCAGACUCCUACGGGAGGCAGCAGCAAGGAAUCUUGGGCAAUGGGCGAAAGCCUGACCCAGCAACGCCGCGUGAGGGAUGAAGGCUUUCGGGUUGUAAACCUCUUUUCACAGGGAAGAAUAAUGACGGUACCUGUGGAAUAAGCUUCGGCUAACUACGUGCCAGCAGCCGCGGUAAUACGUAGGAAGCAAGCGUUAUCCGGAUUUAUUGGGCGUAAAGUGAGCGUAGGUGGUCUUUCAAGUUGGAUGUGAAAUUUCCCGGCUUAACCGGGACGUGUCAUUCAAUACUGUUGGACUAGAGUACAGCAGGAGAAAACGGAAUUCCCGGUGUAGUGGUAAAAUGCGUAGAUAUCGGGAGGAACACCAGAGGCGAAGGCGGUUUUCUAGGUUGUCACUGACACUGAGGCUCGAAAGCGUGGGGAGCGAACAGAAUUAGAUACUCUGGUAGUCCACGCCUUAAACUAUGGACACUAGGUAUAGGGAGUAUCGACCCUCUCUGUGCCGAAGCUAACGCUUUAAGUGUCCCGCCUGGGGAGUACGGUCGCAAGGCUAAAACUCAAAGGAAUUGAC